UCCAAUCUAAUAUAUCAAAUUCUCUCAUAUUGUUAUCAUGGCAUCAAGAGCCAGGUUGGAUCGGGAAACUACCGCUGCUCCGGUGACCUAGUGCUCUUUGUGAUUCUUAGCUCAGUCUCUUUGGUAUUAUAGCUGCACUCGAUUCCCACUCAAUGCAGCCAUCAACUCAUCAUGCCCACAUUUUAUGAUCCAGAGGAAGAAGCUAAGAUCUUCCUUAGGCUUACGAUUCUGAGAGAAAACAAAAAGGUCUUGUUUGCCGGAGCAAACAAAGAUUUCGUCGACAACCUGCUCGGAUUAAUGACUUUCCCCGUCUCUUCAAUGAUUCCUUUUAUCCCCGAAGCUUUUGGGAGUCUAACCAAUGUGAGGAAGAGCAUCGAGAAUAUGGCAAAAUAUCACAAUCCGAUGAAGGAAUUGCUUCUGAAUACUAAGCCACCAGCUCAUCGAAACUGUAAAAACAGGGGUGCACAUAUAAAUCAUCGGUGAUAAUAUACUUGGAUUCGUACAAGACGAAACCUCCUUCUUUAUUAGCUCUUUCACUUGCGGUGCCAUAAUAAUUUACAGCCUGAGUCAUAGAUUUGUUGAAGAUGGAAAAAUAUCACAAUCCGAUGAAGGAAUUGCUUGUGAACUCGCCCUUUUACGUGGCCGAAGACCCUACAGUUUUGUGCCUUUCUUGCAACAAAUCUAUGACUCAUGCUGCAAAUUAUUGUGGCACUGCAAGUGAAAGGGCUAAUAAAGAAGGAUGUUUCGUCUUGUACGAAUCCAAGUAUAGUAUCACUGAUGAUUUAUAUGUGCACCCCUGUUUUUACAGUUUCGAUGAGCUGGUGGCUUAGUAUUCAGAAGCAAUUCCUUCAUCGGAUUGUGAUAUUUUGCCAUCUUCUCGAUGCUCUUCCUCACAUUAGUUAGACUCCCAAAAGCUUCGGGGAUAAAAGGAAUCAUUGAAGAGACGGGGAAAGUCAUUAAUCCGAGCAGGUUGUCGACGCCUUUCUUGCAACAAACCUAUGACUCAGAUUGCAAAUUAUUGUGGCACCGAGCUAAUAAAGAAUGAGGUUUCGUCUUGUAUGAAUCCAAGUAUAUUAUCACCGAUGAUUUAUAUGUGCACCCCUUGUUUACAGUUUCUCUCAUGAAAAAUAUAGCUCCUGGAUGCAAUUCUCCAAAUGCUGAAGAAAUCACUGUGGAUGUCUCUCAUAAGAAACUGGUGAUAAUGGGACUGCUGAAAAGAUCCAUGCAAAGCAACACAGUGUUGUCGGAUCUGUUCUUUUCCGAUGGAUUCGCUUGAGAGGGUCACUCGUACCAAUGGUGAUCAGGGUGGUGAUAUGGGACUGAGCACUACCGAGCAGCGAGCAGAGUGAUGGGACAGGGCACAGGAAGCUUGACUACACUAGAUGACCAUGACCUUGCCAUCAAUUUCUUGAACGAUGAUUUAUUUACGUACAUGGGAUCUUGUUUUAUUAUGUCUUGAAGUGACACUUUAAAGUGAUGUUCAAUUUCUUUUGGUGAUGACUUGUGGUACUAUUGAAUGGUUCUUCUUGGCAAGAAUCUUUAUGGCGGUGGUUGGUUAGAGCAAGUUCACCUGUAGUCAAGAAAAGGCAAAGUCGAGAAGUCAAGAAUUCGACCGGUCAAGCUACUAUUCACUGCCACUGGACAUGGGUUUGCACCCGUUUUUUUUCUUGCCCGGUCAACACUGUUCAUCUUUUCACUGUUCAUGUACUGUUCACCCAAAAACACUGUUCACAUCCAAGUUUCACUGUUUAAAUUCACUGUUCAUUUUCACUA